CGGAGUGUAGCGCAGCCUGGUAGCGCACCUCGUUCGGGACGAGGGGGUCGUGUGUUCGAAUCACACCACUCCGACCA
rnacentral:tRNA from 1 species